AGAUGCAGUGCUCUAGGAGCAGGAUCACUAACCAACGUUUCAUGGCUGCGAGGAACACCUUCAACUCAUCAGUGUUUGAUCUAUAGAUAUGCCUUGAUUGUUGCACUCUAAUAUCAUGUACAAUAUGCUGGUUUUAUGAUGUAAAAGUGUUGGAAUUUUGUGUAUGUGGUCUUAUGUAGAUUGAGACGGCUUUGCAUGACAAUCUAGUGGAAUAGGCGGUUGAUUAUGAAUGCAAGAUUGCCGAAGCUCAGACAAUGAUGGAAGAAGCACAACAAAAAUUAAAAUUGGUUGAGGCUGAAAGAAAGCUACUUGCCGCAGAAUCUUUGGAAAAAGAAUCAGCCCGAACACACAAUUCUACAUUAUGAACAUAAGAUGAUAUUUCAGCUCGGGAAGAUGAUCUCAAGAGGCGUCAUGCUACUUUUAAGUCAGAGUGUGAUAAUAAGGAAAAUGAGAUGAAUCUUCAAAAACAAGCCUUAUAUGAGAGCCAGAAAUUGUGAAAUCGGAGGGAGGAAUUCAUCUUUGAAAGGACCAAAGAGUUAAAUUGCAUUGAGAAAUCCAACUUGGAUUUAGAAGCUGCUGCUCUAGCAACUAGAGGCCAUUGUUAAGUGCGAAACAAAGCUUGCUAAAAAAGAGCAGGAGUUGCUUGUUUUACAGGAAAAUAUUUUGUGCAAAGAUAGGAUGAAAUUCAAAGAAUUAGGGUAGCACAUGAAGCUCUUUUGAAGAAGAGAAAAAGUGAGUUGAAAAAUGAAAUUGAACAGUGGUAUCUAAAGUUGAAGAACGAAGUGGAGGCUAAAAAAUCUGCAGUUGAGGAUGUUCUCUCUGCUAGAGAAAUUGCUAUUCGUGAAAGAGAAGGUGCUGUUGAUUUGCAGCUUUCUGAGUUAGCUGAGAAGCAAGAAAACGUUGCCAACAAAAUGAAAUUGCAUGAGGAGAGAGAAUAGAGUUUAAUUUGUUCACAAAGAGAAGCAGAGGUUGCAGUUCAAAAGGAAAGUGAAAGUAUCCUUGAGCUGAAGGUAGAUCUUGAGAAAAGUAAAGCUAGUUUCGAAGAUAAGAAGAAAGAGAUUCUUCUUUUGGAAGAAAUGUUAGAAAUCAUCAUAGGAGAGAGAAAUAAGUUGCGUGUUCUAGAAAAUGAAUUUAAAGGAGAAAUUGAUGGUCUCAUAGCCCAGAAACUAGUACUUCUUGCUGAAACUGAAAGAUGGAAAGCUGAAAAGGAGAAAUUUGAGCCAGAUUGGGAACUUAUUGAAGAAAAAAUAGACGACCUAAAUAAAGAAACAGAAAAGUUUG